UAAAAAAAAUGAAAGCAAUUAUUUUAGCUGUGAUUGUCAUUUUCACGGCCAACGUUUCGACCCCAUUACGGACAUCUUCAGUCAAAAUUUGGCCAAAAAACGUGUCUAACGACCCUCACUUCCGCUGUUUAUAAAAAGAACAACAUCCGGCCAAAAAUUCAUUUCGCAAAAUGCGUUUCAAACUGAUUUAUUUGUUCCUGUUUCUUUUUGUUUCGUCAUUUAUUCUUGAAGUCGAUACUGUGGCCAAAAAAAAGAAAAAGAAAGUAAAAACAAAGAAAAAUAAAAAAGUGAAGAAACCGGUGAAAAAGACGCAAAAAGUUUUUCCCAUAAAAAAAGAAUGGCUUCGUGAUUUACCCACGGUGCCCAUGAAUUUGUCUUUUGCUGGUUGGAAUGCGACAAACAUUGAAUUUUGUAAUUCAACCGAUUAUGAUUAAAAUGUGAAUUUAAUUUUCAAUAAACCCAAUUAUUUUACCAUUACGUGUGACUAUAAUACUGGAUAUUUUACCAUUGACUCAUCAGAAAUGGGGCUAGUGUUCAAAAUAAUCCUACUUGUGUUUUUUAUUAAAUUGAGUUAUCAAAAUUCAAGUGUGAAUAAAUUGCAAUUGCAAAAUUUUAAACGCCAAGACUUGGCGACUUGUUGGUGGUUUUUCCCCCGAUAUAUUUACGUUAAUGUUGUCACACCUGCAACCACAACGACUGAAGAAUCAAUAGAAGAAGAAACCGAUGAAGAUGAUUUGUUACGAUUAAGGCGGCGAAGAAACAGAAAGAAACUAAAAAAUCGGAGGAAACCAAAAAAACGAAAAAAUAACACGAAAAAUUAAAAUCGCAUUAUUUUAUCAUUAAGUGCCUUUAAAUAGAUGUCAAUUUUGUAAAAUUGACCACAAACAUGCCAGGACCGUACUUGUUGUUUUUCUUGCUCUGUUUUGUUGACAUUAAUUAUGCUUCAAAAAAUCCCUCUCAUGUGUUGGCCAACUGUUGGGGGCAAAGACGACCAGUGACGACAACAACUCCGAUCCCUCCUAUUACUGUGCCUACUGACGAUUAUGGGAUAAUUGAUGGUGGGGGCGAUCUUGAUAACUACGAUGAACCAGAAACAAUGCAAAGAACGAGGCAAAAAAUGAGAAAACGAAAUAAAAAACAACUAAAUAAAAAAAAACUCAAUGCGAAACAAGUGACUAAGAAAAACAAGAAGAAUUAAUAUAACAAAAACAAACAAUAUUAAUAAAUGGUUAUGAAGGCA